ACAAAUCGUCUGAGAAAGAAAGUAGGCUACGCAGAGAUAGUAAGUGUAGCAGCUGUGGGAGAAAAGAAAGAAGAGAAGAAACCGGAGGCAGUAGUGCAGCCUGUUCUUUGGUCCAUGUAUGGUGGAGGCGUGCCUCAGACCUAUAUCCAUCCGAUUCACCCCCCCAACUAUUAUCAGGACCCUUCGUGCUCCAUCAUGUAAUUAACAAACAGGUUAGCCAGAUGCAGAGAGAGAGCUUGAAGCAGAGUCAGCUUAUUUAUUUUGUAGAACAUGCUGGACCGCUGCUGUUCCAUGUCUGAAAGGGGGGAGAUAGUAAGAGAAAUUGGGAUUCCAUAUAUACCAAGUAGCAAUACAAGAUCGGCUUCAUGUCUUAUACCAUGUGUAAACAAAGCUUCUUUGGUUGUACCAACUUGUCAUUUUACAAGAGUGAUAGAUUUUGAUAUUGGGUGAACAAAGAACAUGGUGAUUCAGUCGUUAUUCAACAAAAGAAUAAUAAUAUAAAAAAACAAAAUUGAGACACUAUACUAUGAAAUUCAGUCACCAUUAAUUAUCAACUUAUGAAUUUUAAUCCAGCGCAUCUUCUCCUUUUCUUUUUGUAUCUAAGAAAGAUAGUCAAAGAGCAAUCACACCAGGCUAUACACAUCACAACGCAUGUCACUGUGCCUUUCUAGCUGUCAACGCUCGAAUUCUAAUACUUUUAUAACUUUUAUAGUUGUAGUUUUAUAAAAAUUAUUUUAUAAAAGUAUUUUUGAUUGAGGUUAGUUUGAUAUUUAUAUAUGUUUGGUUAAAAUUAUAGUUGAAAUUGAGAUUGAAUAAAAAAUAUUUUAAUGUGUUUGGUUAAAAAUACUUUUCAAAUUGAGGUUAUAAAAUAAUUUUAAAAAAUAUAUAUUAAUAUUGGUUAAUUACUGCUAUUACAUCAUGAAAUAAAUAAUACUUUAUAUAAAAUAUUUUUUAUUGUUUUAUUAAACUAUCUACAAUUCCAUCACGUAUGAAAUACAUACGACAAAUACUACAGUUUCCUUGGUUUCUUAAGCGCGCAACAACAUCAGGUAAAAUAUAAUCAGGAACAAAAUUGAGAUUGCGAUGAAAUUCUGCAAAUGCUACGUCAUCAAGCGAUCUCCGUCUAAUUUAUGUAGUGAUACUUUAUAAUGUUAAGUAGUAGUUUUUCGAAUAAAACACAAUUAAAAAUAUAAAAUAAAAUAAUUUUUUUUAUUUUACUAAGUCGGACCCAGUUCAAUACAUUUAGCUCUGGACCGGACCCGACCCGGUCCGGCCGGAACAGUGGAGAGUGAAUUACUCUCCACGGGAAGAAGAGGAAAGCAGCAUUGAGCUGCUUUCAAUGACCCUGCGUUUUAAACGCAAUUAAUGGUGGGGUCCAUGAAUAGUAAAUAAAGUUUUACUCGUUACCAAAUAAUGAUUUUCCGUGGUUUGCUUCUAAAGAGGCUCUACAUCAUGUUGUUUACUAUUUAAGAAAUUUUAUAACAAAUUAGAUAUAAAAAAUAAAGUGAAAACGAUUCCAGAUUAAAAAUUACCUUCAGUAUAUCAGUAAUGAAUAGGCUUGAAGCAGAGUCAGCUUAUUUAUUUUGUAGAACAUGUUGGACCGUUGUUGUUCCAUGUCAAAAAGGGGGGAGAUAGUAUGGGAAAUUAGGAUUCCAUAUAUACCUAGUAGCAACAUAAGAUCGGCUUCAUGUCUUACUCCAUAAAAAAAUUAUAAGUACGGUUAUUGGACCUUACAAACUCUUUAAUAUUUUUUUAAGUAUGAAUAUUGCACUUAUACAAACUACUUAAAAGAUUUCUUCUUAAAUAUUUUAUUAUGGGCAUUAAACCCAUAUAUUAUACAAGUUUACAAAAUAUUUCUCAAAGUAAACAAGGAAAUUAAUGGCAACAAUUUCAUAAAAUAUUAUAGAAAGAUAAACCCCACAUGAAUGAGGUUGUUUACAAGGCUAAGAGGAGUUGGGGGCUAAAGCUUGGAUAUCUAGGCAAGGCUCCUCAGCAAGAUAUUCCUCAUGUUGAGCAAUUACGGCCAUAGCAGGGAACACAUCUGUAAAAUCAAGCAUACGAACAUGAUGGAGGACAACACUGAAGUCCACCUGCAUUCCUUUUGACUGAUUAAAGAAGUACAUGUUGGACAUGGCAAUGAAGAUCUUGUCCCUAACUAUUUCAGUCAGGGUUGCAUACCCUUCAAAAAAAUCCUUGAACUCCUCAAAAGAGUUCCUUAGAGCCUUUAGUCGUGCAUGAGAGUUUUGGGCUUUUACCUUGACAAUAAAGAGCUCAACCCUCAAACUAUCUUGGGUGGCCUUCUCCUUAAGGAUCCCCUGUUUUAAGGCAGCCACUUUAUUAUAAGCCAUCUGGAGCUCUUUUUCAGUUGAGCCCAGUUGAAUGACAAUACCUUGCAUGUUAUCCUUUAGUGAUGUAUAGGCCACCUUGAGGUCCCUUAACUCAGCCUCUACAACAACCUUCUCCUUCCUUGGUCAUUAAAGGAUAGUCUGGUCUGCAUUGUGUUUGGCAAUAGUCUUCCUUACCUAGCUUCUCUCAAAGACAAACAGUGGUUAGAAACAAUAGUGAUGAACUAAAGUAAAUAAUGAGAUUAGAUAAAAAAAAAAAAAAGUUUCUUACAUUAAAGGUCAUUUAUCUUGUCAAGGCUAGAUAGUAGUUAUAGCUCUCAUCAUACAUCAUCAAGAUAUUUGAAGGAAUGAUGAUAACCCUCUCCAGGUGUUUCAAUACCUCUAGGCCAGACCUCCCACCAAUAACGGCCUUCAUGGCUUACCUCUCCUCCCCAAUCAAGAAAAGGUAAGUACAGGGGGCUCGAACAAGGACAAGGCUAGUAAAAGCAUUCAUAAACCUCUGUUCAACUUCCUCACGAGCACUUUGGAUAAAGGUCCUAACAAUUGAAGUCUCUAUAACUGAGAUCAGGGGUGGGGUAGUGGGAUUGCCAAGAUAAAAGAAGCAUCUACAACCGAGGCUACAUUGCAAGUCUCCAUAAGGGUGGAGACCCUCUUUCUAUUAAAAUGUGCAGUGGCACCCAUAAUUACUUCAGGAGGGGUCAAUUUUGCUUGACCCCUAGCUAGGAGAGAACAGUUUCUCCCAACUUUCAUUUCUACGGGAGUGAUGACUUCCACCAUUAUUUCCUUAGGAACAAUGUCCUUAUAAAUAAUGAGCUCAUUUAUAUUGAUAGGGUUGUGCUUCAUCUCUUCUCUAGUCUCGACUCCACUCAAGUCAAGAGAUGAAAGCCCCUUUCUUGAUAUAGACAAGCUCUCCUCUAUAAACCUUGUUGAAGUUUUUCUUUCUCCUUUAGUUGUUAAUCCUGCAUAAAAAAAAGUCAGAAAUAAACUUGAAUGCAUAAAAAAUAAAAGGAUAAAGAGGCUAUAUACUUUGCAAUAUGGUUUGGUAAUGCCUUUUAGCCAUUUUAUUAAUGUAAUACUCGGUUAAGGCUGUUGCUAAUAUAGCACAUGUUUUCUUCUUAUCCAAGCUUAGACAAGGCCUCUUAUUCACCUUAGAGGAAUGCACUCUCAAAUAAUAGGAACAACUUUAUAUUUGAUGCAUCCUAUCUCUAAGUUAACUGGCUCAUUAUACCUAAUUAUUAGCAAUCUCUCACUCCAUUUCUUGACAUAUACAACUUUUCCUUGCAAAGUCCCCAUCAUGGUUCAUAUAGGUUUGUUAGUGAAGGUAAAGAACCAAUGAAUAUCAUUACCACUAUUAAUGUCAGCAACCAUAUGAUAACAAGUCCUAAAAAUAUUGAUAGUAGGCUCAAUUCCAACGAGCCUAGGGAACUUAUCAAAAGUGGCCAAGAUUAUUCAUCCAUUAGGAUGCAGUUGGUUUGGACCCAACCUAUAAUAUCUAAAAACUUCUCUCACAAACCUUUAAAGAGGGAAGGAAUACUCCAUUGAUAAAUACCAUUUUUUUAUGUUUAAAAUGUUGGAGGCAUCAUCCUCGGGGGUUUGAGGUAGCUUUUCUCUCCCCCGAGGUUCCCUGGAAGUAGUAGUGAAUGGACUUCUCUAAUGAUGAGAACUACCCCUUACUAGAGGUGGACACUGGAAUUCCACCUCCUCUAGUUUUAUUGGCCAGUCUAAUAGGCCCAUGUCCUCUACUGCUUCCUCUUAAUCUGGUUGAAACCUGAACUCAUCGUUGGAGGAAGCAAUGUCCUACUUUUAAGAUUAGAUCUGACUUUUUUAAGGUCCAUUUUUUCUGGUAAGGAAGAAGAAGAAUGAAAUUUAUGGGUGAGAAAUACCUAAGAUGACAGUUUCUUUUAAAAAAAUAGCAUAACUUGCUCAAAACAAUCUUCAACAAAUUAUUUUUACAGAGAAAUUGCAAAUUGUGAAAGUAAAAGAAAAAAUGGAAGCAAAAGUAGCUAAAGUUAUAAAGAAAAUAACUUUUUACCCUUACCGUUAGAUGAAUAUCCUUUCAUGUCACCCCAGAUCUCCAGAAAUCUACUUGAUUGCUAUAUUAAAUAUAUGCCGCCAUUUUAUUUCCCAAAGGAGACCUCUUUUAAUGAAGAUAAGCCACCUGACAAUCUCUUUCAAUAAUGACAAGCCACUGGCCACAAGAAUCCCAACAAUUUACUUGACACACUCAAAUCUCAUGGAAAAUGUAAAAAGUCUCUCAUUAGAACCAGUUUGUUUUCACAUUUUAAAAGCGCUUUUGAAAACAAAAUUAAGGAUUUUUUUUUAUUUUUUUCUUUGUUUUAAAUUAUAUUUUUUAGGCUAUUCAAAUCAUUUUGAUGUGUUGAUGUCAAAAAUGAAUUUUAAAAAAUGAAAAAAUAUUAUUUCGAUGUAUUUCCAUACAAAAAGUACUUUGAAAAGCAAGCACUACCACAAUAUCAAACGAGCUCUAAAGAUGAUAACCUUUCAAAUAUUUACAUAUUCAAUACACAAAGACUUAAGGGGCUAUUAAUGGAUCAACAUAUUUUAUAUAUGUUAUUUUUGCUUAAACCAAUGUUUAAAAGGGCCAAAGACAGGGUAAUAACCAAACAUAUUAUGCCAAGCCAAAAUGGCAUGUGUAUGGCUUUCUUCAAGACCCAAUAUCUUUAGGUUGAGCUACGUGUUGAGCCCAUGGAUCUGGCGAAAUAUCAGACCCAAUAUCAUUGAGCUCUAUUAUGCGCUGAUCCCAAAUAUAUAUAUAGGUCUGGCAAGCUACCAGACCUAACAUCUUUGGGCUCAGCUACGCGCUAAGCUUAAGUACAUAUGGGUCUGGCAAGCUGCCAGACCCAACAUCUUUGGCCAAAUCUAACAUUAUUGGGCUAAGCAUGUACAUGUGGAUCUAAGAAGCUAUCAGACCCAUCACCUUUGAGCUCACCUAUACACUAAGUCCAAGUACAUGUGGGUCUAGUGAGCUGUCAGACCCAACAUCGUUAGGCUCAGCUAUACGCUGAGUCCAAAUACAUGUUGGUCUAGCAAGAUGUUAAACCCAACAUCCUUAAGCUUAGCUACGCGUUGAGUCCAGGUACAUAUGGGUCUAGCGAACUGCCAGACUUAACAUCAUUGGGCUCAGCUAUGCACUGAGUCUAAAUACAUAUUGGUCUAACAAGAAACCAAACUCAACAUCCUUCGGCUUAGCUACGCGUUGAGCUUAUGUAUAUAUAGAUCUCACAAACUGUUAGGCUUUACACCAUUAGGUUUGGGAUCAUUCCAAGUCUAAAUGCAUGUGGAACUGACAAUCAUUAUAAGUCUUAUAUCGAGUCAUGAGGCUCCAUGUUAGGUCUUGAGGCUUUGCUCAUUUAUUCGUACAACUCUUAGCAUAAAAUGUUAAAAGUUAAGAAUAAUCAUCUCCCUAUAUUCUUAAGAGCUUUCUUAAGGACCUACUAUAUUUCUAUCAACAUUAAUAUUGUGUAGGGGAUAUAUGUCACUCAUUAAUGUUGUGUAAGGGAUAUUUAUUCUUUAUUAAUGCUAUCAGGAAGAAAUGACACUCCAGCCCCUCCAUUUAUGCAACAUGAUAAGGUUUGUAGGUUAUAUAUACAUCAUAAACCACCCAGGUAAAGAGUUCACUUUUCUCUAUUCUUUAAUAUUCAUAUUUUUAUUCUCAGAGUAUUUGUCAUACACAAACAAGAAUAAAUAUUCUUGUUCUUAGAAUUUAAAGUUCAUUCUCUCAUUUAUUGCAAUUUCUUAUUAAAAGUCAUUGAUUUUAUCAUCGAAUGGUCUCUAAAUCCCACUAAAAAAAACUAUUUUGCAAGUGUUAAAUCUUUUAUAGCCAACUAUCAACUUCAUGAACUCAUAAAAAAAAAAUUAUUGACAUGAAUGAAUGAUUACUUUUUGUCUAAUCACUUAAAAAACUUUAUUCAUGAACAUAUUAAAUUUUACAACAUUACCAGCAUGGAAGAUGAACCGAGAAUACUAAAUUAUCACAAAAACCAAUAUAUAAUAAGGCAUGAUUUUGAUGUUCAAACUGAUUCGUUUCUUCCUCAUCAUUUAUCAACUAAAGUAACAUUAAUUAUAAGCAGGAUUCACGUGGUUUGCAAAUAAAAAUAAAAUAAAAACCCAAGAACAACCAACUUGUUCUUACUCUGUAAUCGCAAGCACAAGCCCUGUAUAAAGAUUAGACUAUGCAGUCUCUUCUAAUAUAUCCCCCGAAAACAUAACCAACUUGUCUUAAUUCUUCUACGUUUUCAUUUGUUUUUUCAUUUUGUGAUUAGAAUUAAUAGUUCUUCUGAACUGACAGUUUUAGAGGGCCCCAUGGGGAAGGCUGGUUCAUUGAUGAACAGGACCCCACACGAAAUGCCGUGUGUUGACUUCGUCAAACUGGAAGAAAAACAAAUCGGAAUCAGAGAUUCCUUGAACUUUCACAGAAAUCUCCUCACUCGUUCUCUAACCCAUGCACUCCUAUAUUAAUAGAAAAAACUGCAUCCCAGACUUCCAUCUUCAAAGCAGCAAUAGCAUUAAUUCACCCCCUCCUCUGCUUCUUCAAAACCAUCACUUUUGGUGUCUCCUGAACUGUAAAGAGCUCCUCAUCCCCUACAAUAUAUCAUCAUCUUUCCGACAAUCAAGACCAUGAAGGUAUGAAUUUGUGAUCAGAACACAAGUAUAUUUUUAGCUUGUUCGAAAAAAUAUAAUGUAAAUUACUUUCUUGUUAUUGAUUAAUUAUGAAAAUUAUGCUAAAUUAUUAGUGAUCAAGGUGACGGUGAAUGGACCGAAGUCCCGCUCCAAAUCCUUGCAGAUUGCAGUUGGGUUUUCAGGUAAACAAAACCUUCCUUGCACACAAGUAUUAGAAUUGCAAUACCUAAUAGAAACCAUGAAUUUGUGGGCAAAUUCAGAUGAUCAAUAUGUUGACGGGCUUGUGUUUUUCUGUGAUUCUGUAGGUGUUGAAUCUGCUGGUUUAGGAGGGCAAGAUAAGAGCCAGAUAGAGGUGGUAGGCCAUGGAGUUGAUGCAGUAGAACUUACAAAUUGUCUGAGAAAGAAAGUAGGCUACGCAGAGAUAGUAAGUGUAGCAGCUGUGGGAGAAAAGAAAGAAGAGAAGAAACCGGAGGCAGUAGUGCAGCCGGUUAUUUGGUCCAUGUAUGGUGGAGGCGUGCCUCAGACCUAUAUCCAUCCGAUUCACACCCCCAACUAUCAUCAGGACCCUUCUUGCUCCAUCAUGUAAUUAACAAACAGGAUAGCCAGAUGCAGAGAGAGAGAGCUUGAAGCAGAGUCAGUUUGUUUAUUUGUAGAACAUGC
rnacentral:lncRNA from 1 species